ensembl:lncRNA
UAAGAGUCGACUAAGAGCUUACAGUAUUAGCUAGCAGUACGUUUGGUAACGGGUUGUUUUGCUGGGUACAGUUGUUACAUACAGAAAACAAUAUUAAGCGCAUUGUAACUAGAUAACUAACCCUAGUAAAACAUUAUAUAGAAAUAUUUAUACACAUACAUACCUAGCAAAUUCACCAGACUAUUGACUGUAUUUCUAAUGGCUUGCUCAACGGAAGGCCCAGGGCCUGGUCUUCUUGAGCAAGAUUAAAUAUAUUAUUUGUAAGUUGAAUGUUUAACUACAGUACCUGCUAUGUUAGAUUUGUGUGGUUUGUAACUUUAUAAGAAUAUUUAUAAUUUGCUAAUUUCCAGGAUUUACCCUAUUUUCAUAGCGUGUUAAAAUUGUCAAAUAGUCAAAGAAAUAAACCAAUAAGUGUGUGGUGGCUGCGUGAAAUGCAACAUUCAUCAUGCAAAUGUAUUAAACAAGAUUAGUUUUAGGUUGUCUGGAUUGUGGGCUUUGGGUAGGAAUAAUUUGGCGGGAAUAACACUACAAUAAACACUGUACCUAGUUGUAUAAAUUGGUUAACCCCUUGUUAUUGAGUUUAACUUGAUUAAUAACUUGUUAAUUACCAUUUAUCUAUAGACACAUUUAUUUGUUAAGCGUAGAAGGGGCAUGGCAAAAAGAUUUUAACAUUUAUUGCUUUACUGCAUUAAUUGAAUAUGUACAUCAUAUGCGAUAGAUGGCUCCAAUACUGUCCUAAAAAGGAAUAUUUUGUCUUUCAUAUCUCCAGUAGAACAGUCGACACUGGUGUGCUGGGAUUAGUGGUAAAUCAGAAUAGUCUAAAAUGUAUUGAUGAAGAAUGGAGCGGGACUAAGAUGCAGCUGCAAGCUGAUACUGGACACAAAGGGAGAAACAUUGUUCAUGGACAACCUGGACAAAGCAGCAAAGAGGGACAUCAAACAGCGGACAAGGUGCAACAAGCAACAGAAAUCGAGACUCAUCAGACC